rnacentral:pre_miRNA from 1 species
UCCUAUGAAUGAGCAAGGAUAGUGGUUUCUUGAGAUGGAACCUGCUCCUGGUGAGGAUGCUGGGAA